UGUCAAAUUCUCCCUGCAAUCUUGAAUCUACAAUAUCAUUGAUCUCCUUUUCAAGUAGCACAGAAUGAACCCAUUGAACUAUGUGAGUUUUCUCCUCAGAUCUGGUUAUAGCUGGUUGACCUGUAAUUAUCUCAAGCAGCACUACUCCAAAACUGAAAACAUCACUUUUUCCAUUCAACCUGUUUGAUCUAUUGUACCUGAUGCAUAGAAAUUUACAACUCAAUUUAUAUGAAAUGUUGUCUCAAGACUCUUGAAUUUUGCCACCAGGGUUUGAGUCAAAAUCAUAACUUACUCUGGAUCAAGAUAUCCCAGGGUGCCAGCUACCACUGUGGUCAUAUGGGUGUCGCUUUCAUCAGGAUAGAUCUUUGACAACCCAAAAUCAGCUAGUUUACCCCGCAAUUUUUCAUUCACCAAGAUGUUCUUAGACUUAACAUCUCUGUGAACAAUUGGUACAUUGCAGCCAUGAUGCAAAUACUCCAAUCCUACAGUUAAAGUCUCAACUUAAAUUUUUGUUGCAUAAAACUCUUACUCUAAAGAAAGAGGGUGCAAAAUGAUUCUUUUCAUACUUACCUUCGGCAGCAUCCACUGCAAUUUGAAGUCGUUGGUUCCAACUCAAUAUAUUUUUGCUUUUGCCUACAUUUUUUAUGAUUCCACAAAGGAAUGCAUGAGUUUGAAAUCAUAGAAAAAAAAAGAAAUGGCAUUGUGUUUUGGUGCAGAAUGAUAUAAAAAAAAAUUGUUUUCCAGUCCAUACACCUAUCUUUGACUCAAUUUUUAUGCUUCAUUUAAAUGUAUCUGAUUUGACUUGAAUGGUUUGUGAUAUAUUAUUCGAAUUCAUUGACUGUUUAGAGUCUUUAUGCAGAUAAUUAAGACAACUACAGAGUCAAAAGCUUUUACUUUACACCAGUACCUUUUUAUCUAGCAAAGGUGGAUACAAUCAUAAACACAUUAUGUAAAUUGACCUUAAACAAUACCUGAUAAAUGUUUUGCCAAGUCUCCAUUAGCCAUAUACUCAUAGAUGAGAGCCAUAUUCUCGCCAUCAUCACAAUAUCCAAUUAGAGAAGUUAAAAAUUUAUGAUGAACAACAGCAACAAAUUUGGCCUGUAAAUAAAAAAAGCAAUAAUCCCUUCAGUUAUCACAAACAUUAUAUUAUAUAUAUAUAUAUAUAUAUAUAAUAUAACUAUGUAUGAUCAUAUUUGAAGUUAGUCAUAUUACCUCAGCCUUAAACUGCAGAUACCCUUGGGCUGAGGGAGAGAGCAUUUUGACAGCUACCUCAAUAUCAUCUAUGCAGCCAUGGUAGACUGUAGCAAAUCCUCCUUUCCCUACAACUCUUUCAAAAUUUUUGGUCAUGCUCAGGACUUCAGCAUAGGUAAAUUCUUGUUUAUUUGUCUCUAGUUCCUCCUUUAUUCUGGAAUAGCCAAUCCGUUUGCUAGCUGAAACUGUGGGAAGAAAGAAACAGUGUCAAAGUCCAUGCAAAUAUCUGCUAAUUGUUGUACACUAUAUUCAUAUGUUAUGCCUAAUAUAGUGCAAUCUUAGAUAAUCUUGCCUAUAUAUCUUCAAAAUAAAAAUCCAAUUGAAAAUUUACAAUGUAGAAAUCAACUUCAAAUUUGAUACAUUGUCCUUUUUAUACUGUUAAACAAUUGUAUAUCAACUUAAGAAUGACAAUGUAAAAACCGUUCCCACUUUUAUUUUGAAGAACACUGAUUUUGAAGAACACCUUUUACAUUGUUCUUUUGUGUUAAAAAACAACAUGGUACCUGGUUGUCUCCUUUUGUGUAUGUAGAAAGAAAUCAGUAUUAUUACUAGUAUCACGAAAGCUCCACCGAGCGAUGCCACUAGUGGGAUUACAACUCUGUUCCCAUUUUUAUUGUUGCAUGAACCUGGGGAGCAAAGAUUUGGAUUUCCACCAAAACUGCAUUUACAAUGUAAAAGAUGAACAUGUUAUGGGAAUUGUCUUACCAAAUGGUAAACCAACAUAAUAUGCCAUUCCACAUAUUGUUGCAAAAAAUGAGAUAAAUGAGUAACUCAUUGGGAAUGAAGUCAAAACAGAGAGGCAGAGUAUUAUCCAAAACUGAAUUUUGAAACAGAACAUACUUGGAUUCAAGUAAACCGUUCUGGGAAAGUACAAUGAGUUGCGUUGGAAUUGUUCCUGAUAGCUGAUUGCCUUCUAGGUUUCUUGCAUAAAGAAAUAACAAAUCAUUAUUCAUCUUUCAUAAAAAAUACUCUAUAAGGUCCACAUUAAAUAAAAAAGGGUGAAAAUUUUAUGGAGAGGUAGAUCUAGUUGAGUACUUUUUUCACUGUAAGAUGCACAUGCAGAUCCUUAACAUGUUUCUAAAUAAUUAAAGCAACAAAGAUAAUUAAAAAAUCAAUUUCAAGAAACUUAGCCUUUUGAAAACACUACCUCUUUAUAAAAUUUCUUGAUCUAAAUAGUUAACUUACAGAACUCUUAAGAAGCUUAGUUGAUGUAGGAAUUCAGGCACGACCCCGGUCAAAUUGUUGUUUGACAAAUCCCUAAAAUAGAAACAAAUUUCUUAUACUCAACUUUAGGAGGAAUCAUAAACUUUCUGUGAUCAACUAUAUAAGUUGCUAUUUGUAUGAGGUAGAUUCAGUGACUUACAAAUAUUCUAUGUACUGCAGAUUGGAUAUGCCAGAUGCUAUAUUACCAAUUAAACCACUGGAAGAUAAGUUCCUAAAAGCAUGUUAUAAGAUUUUGUUAAUAAUAUUGAAGAUAUAAGCGUAAAUUUGAAGCUAAAACUAUAGCAUCAGUCUAUGUAUCAGACCAAACUUACAAGUAUAUAAUUCUUGCUGAACCAGAUUCAUAGCUGCAGUUAAGACCGUCCCACAAGUAAGCUACUGGUAUACAAGGAUCUCCUUGCCAGUUUCUCUUGAUUCCAUACAUUGACUUGACAUUUAUUAUACCAUCAACUAUUAUCAUGAAUAUAUAGUAAUGAGUAAUAAUAAGAGUAGUGCAUGUGAAUAAUGAUGUGCAGGGUUGUAAUCAGUUAUAAUAAGGUGAUACUAGAAAGCAAAAUCAGGUGUCUAAGAACAUACCAUCUGUUUGAUAUGUUGCAGAUUGUGAGAGGUUUCUUGUGGUAUAUAUCUCAAUGGCGUUGAGAAGAGGUGGAAGAGUUGAUCUACUAGUUUUAUUAAUCCAAAUGUCCAACGGUUUUUCAGUUAGAGCUAUGUGAUACACACUCUGCAGGUAUAAAGGAUUGAUUGGAUAAUUAUUUAAAAUGUCCCCAUUUACAAAAAUGUUGAACUCUCUCGUUUGGUUUGCCUGAAGCUUCUGGAUUUCAGCAAAAAACAUGUACACAUAAAGAGUGGAAGAAUUAUAAUUGGGAAGGAAGUGGAACUCUAUAUUGUCCUUGACAUUUGCU
rnacentral:lncRNA from 1 species